AAUAACUUGGCCACGACUUUGUUACGUAGUUGAUUUGGAAAGCCGAUUGCUGAGAACAGCAGGGAAAGCCAGAACCUUGGAAACUGCUUUUCAGUGAGGACCUCCUAGGGCACACUCGGAAUGGGGUCUGGGCCACCUGCACAUGCACGGGCUCCUGCAGCCUUUGGGGGCAGCUGUGUGGGGUGAAAAUUCCCCUUCCACCCUGUAAAGACACAGUGGGAAGUGAGGACUGGGAGUAUGAAACAGCUUCAGCUUUCUUGACUAUAUUAUGAAGCCAGCUAAGAACAGGAAAUAAUCACAUGGGCUUUAAGCAGAUUAGUGCUUUACUGAAGCUAGUGUAUACAGAAACUGGUCUAAAGAAUCACAAACAAAUAUAAAACAGAGAGAGAGAUGUUGAGAGAGUGAGAAGACAAGGUAGCGUCUUCAAGAACAGACAGCCUAUGGAGUGCUUCAGGGAGCUGUGGUCAUCUAGGAGUAGACUGUGCUGGCUCUUUCUGGAUGUCUACCUUGAGCUGUUUUUUCCUUCUCCUUAGCCUUUGCUUCUCUGAGGUCCCCAGUGGCCUAGAUGUGGCAGCAGUGAUUGAAUGGUUAAAACAUCAGAGUACACAGAAUUGUCUGGAGCUGCGAAAGUGUCAAGCUUGGAGAUUCAGACAAAUGCUGAGAGCAGUGAAGAGUGUACAGAACUUUCCCCAGGAAACCUUUGGGUGAUGCACACAGAGUGAACCCGGAAUCUCUCAGCAACCUGGGAGACUAAAGAAGGAGGCCUGAACACAAAGAUCUGUUUCAGCCUUGGAAAUCCUCCAACACAGUUCCAGGAUAAUUCUUCUAAGUCUCUCAUCUUGUACCAGCUCUGGGCUAACAAGCCUCCACAGCCUCCAUGAGCGUACAGGUUCCCAUUUUCCCAGGUUGCUGGUCACCAAGCCUUCUGAAUUCUGAAGAAGUUUUAUCUUUACCAGUAAGGCCAAUAACCACUCUGCUGUUUUGCUGAGAUUCUGCUAUACAUACAGAUGACAAGGAGAUUUUCCAGAAAAAGAAGUCUUAAUAACAAAAAGCUAUUGCUGUAAUUAAAAAACAAACAAACAAACCUCCUAAUCUCAGUGAUCUAAGACUAGAAAGGUUAUUUCUUGAAAACCUUAAAGUCCAGUUGGAUCUUUGACAGUCAUACCCAUACCACUUCCAUCUAGUGGUUCCCCAUCUUCUAGGCCUCUUAGUUCUCCACUGGGUCCUCUGCAUCUCCCUCUUGGCAAGGGAAGAGAACAGCAUGAGCAUGAACGUCCCGUGAGAAGUUUAGGGAGGUCAAGAACAUCACUGUCACUCACCGUGAGAACCAGCCCAUGCCUCACUGCACUGCAGGGGGCUGGGAGAUGUCAGUUCAUCAUGUGCCCAGGAAGAAGUGGAGACCAUGAAACGGUGCCUGCCACAGUGCAGUAAACAGAUGUUUGUUGAAAGAAUGAAUGAAUGGCAUCAGUGCAUUAUAAUCAUCUGGCUGCUGGGGCAAAACAAGCUAAGGACAGGGAAUAGGCACCAGAAAGGAGUUGCAACUUUUGGAACAAUCUUCUCGGCUAUCCUCUGCCUCCAGGACC